rnacentral:rRNA from 1 species
GACGAACCGUGCGAACGUUGUUCGGAUUCAUUGGGCUUAAAGGGCGCGUAGGCGGGCCGGCGAGUCAGGGGUGAAAGCCUCCAGCCCAACUGGAGAACUGCCUUUGAUACCGCCGGUCUCGAGGGGGGUAGGGGCACGCGGAACUUCCGGUGGAGCGGUGAAAUGCGUAGAGAUCGGAAGGAACGCCGGUGGCGAAAGCGGCGUGCUGGGCCCCUUCUGACGCUGAGGCGCGAAAGCCAGGGGAGCAAACGGG